rnacentral:rRNA from 1 species
AUGACUAAAUCCAGAAGCAACGCUGGCUCCUCGGCGUGCUCGGACCCCAGAUCACGAAUGGAGGACGCCUACGUCGUCGUCUACCUCGGCGUAGCUCUCGUGUCACUCCUCGUCGUGCUCGCCGGCCGCAGGCGCUGGGGCGCGCGCGGUGAUGGUGCCGCCGACGGCCUGCGCCUGCCGCCGGGGCCGUGGCAGCUGCCGGUGAUCGGGAGCCUGCACCACCUCGCCCUCGCCGGGCAGCUCCCUCACCGCGCGAUGCGCGACCUGGCGCGGCGCCACGGGCCGGCCAUGCUGCUGCGGCUCGGCGAGGUGCCCACGCUGGUGGUGUCGUCCCGGAAGGGCGCGCGCGAGGUGAUGAGGACCCACGACACGGCGUUCGCGACGCGGCCGCUGAGCGCCACCAUGCGCGUGCUCACCAACGGCGGCCGGGACAUCAUCUUCGCGCCCUACGGGGACUACUGGCGGCAGCUCCGGAAGAUCGCCGUCGCGGAGCUCCUCACCGCGCGCCGCGUCCUCUCCUUCCGCGCCAUCCGCGAGGAGGAGGUCGCCGCCGCGCUCCGCGGCGUCGCCGAGGCCGCGGCGGCCGCGCGCCCCGUGGAGAUGCGCGUGCUGCUGGCCGCCCUCGUGGCGGACAGCACGGUGCGCGCCGUGCUGGGCGACCGGUGCCGGGAGCGCGACGCGUUCCUCCGGGCGCUCGACCGCUCCAUGCAGCUCGCGGCCGGCUUCAACCCGGCCGACCUGUGGCCUUCGUCGCGGCUCGCCGCGCGGCUCAGCAGCGCCGUGCGCCGCGCCGGGGAGUGCCGCGACACCGUGUACGGCAUCCUCGACGGCGUCGUCCAGGAGCACCUGGAGAGGAUGAGCGGCGGCGGAGGUCACGACGAGGACCUGCUCUACGUGCUGCUGAGGAUCCAGAAGGAAGGCGCGCUCCAGUUUCCGCUCGACAUGGACGUCAUCAAGUCCGUCAUCUUCGACGUAUUCGGCGCUGGCAGCGAGACAUCAGCUACAACGCUGGAGUGGGCCAUGGCGGAGCUGGUCAAGAACCCAAGGGUCAUGCAAAAGGCAACGGCGGAGUUGCGGCAAACCUUCCAUGCCCGUGGUACCGUGACCGAGCAUGCUCUAACAGAGCUCACCUAUCUACACCUUGUCAUCCGAGAGACGUUGCGACUACACACACCCCUGCCGUUGUUGCUCCCGCGCGAGUGCCAGGAAUCAUGCCAGGUGUUGGGAUACGAUGUGCCACGUGGAACGCAAGUGAUCGUCAACGUCUGGGCAUUGGGCCGCGACGAGCGCUACUGGCCCGACGCGCCUGAGGAGUUCCGGCCAGAACGGUUCGAGGGGCAAGCGGCGUCGGACUUUGGGGGUGGUGACUUUGCGUUCCUUCCAUUUGGCGCUGGCCGGCGGAUGUGCCCUGGGAUGGCGUUCGGCCUUGCCAACGUUGAGCUCGCGCUCGCGAGCCUGCUCUUCCACUCCGACUGGGAGUGGGCAGGGCCAGGCUCGGAGCUCGACAUGACCGAAGCAUUCGGCCUCACCGCCCGGCUUAAGAACAAGCUUCUAUUGCGCCCUGUUCUCCGUGUGCCUGUUCCCAGAAUCUAG